AGUAAUGUCUGGGAAACUGCCCGAUGGAGGUUGAUAACUACUGGAAACGGUAGCUAAUACCGCAUAACGUCGCAAGACCAAAGUGGGGGACCUUCGGGCCUCACACCAUCGGAUGUGCCCAGAUGGGAUUAGCUAGUAGGUGGGGUAAUGGCUCACCUAGGCGACGAUCCCUAGCUGGUCUGAGAGGAUGACCAGCCACACUGGAACUGAGACACGGUCCAGACUCCUACGGGAGGCAGCAGUGGGGAAUAUUGCACAAUGGGCGCAAGCCUGAUGCAGCCAUGCCGCGUGUAUGAAGAAGGCCUUCGGGUUGUAAAGUACUUUCAGCGGGGAGGAAGGCGGUGAAGUUAAUAGCUUCACCGAUUGACGUUACCCGCAGAAGAAGCACCGGCUAACUCCGUGCCAGCAGCCGCGGUAAUACGGAGGGUGCAAGCGUUAAUCGGAAUUACUGGGCGUAAAGCGCACGCAGGCGGUCUGUCAAGUCGGAUGUGAAAUCCCCGGGCUUAACCUGGGAACUGCAUUCGAAACUGGCAGGCUAGAGUCUUGUAGAGGGGGGUAGAAUUCCAGGUGUAGCGGUGAAAUGCGUAGAGAUCUGGAGGAAUACCGGUGGCGAAGGCGGCCCCCUGGACAAAGACUGACGCUC
rnacentral:rRNA from 1 species